rnacentral:rRNA from 1 species
AUUGAACGCUGGCGGCAGGCCUAACACAUGCAAGUCGAGCGGAUGAAGGGAGCUUGCUCCUGGAUUCAGCGGCGGACGGGUGAGUAAUGCCUAGGAAUCUGCCUGGUAGUGGGGGAUAACGUCCGGAAACGGGCGCUAAUACCGCAUACGUCCUGCGGGAGAAAGUGGGGGAUCUUCGGACCUCACGCUAUCAGAUGAGCCUAGGUCGGAUUAGCUAGUUGGUGGGGUAAAGGCCUACCAAGGCGACGAUCCGUAACUGGUCUGAGAGGAUGAUCAGUCACACUGGAACUGAGACACGGUCCAGACUCCUACGGGAGGCAGCAGUGGGGAAUAUUGGACAAUGGGCGAAAGCCUGAUCCAGCCAUGCCGCGUGUGUGAAGAAGGUCUUCGGAUUGUAAAGCACUUUAAGUUGGGAGGAAGGGCAUUAAGUUAAUACCUUGAUGUUUUGACGUUACCAACAGAAUAAGCACCGGCUAACUUCGUG